rnacentral:rRNA from 1 species
UACGUAGGGGCCCAGCGUUGUCCGGAUUCAUUGGGCGUAAAGCGCGCGCAGGCGGCCCGGUGUGCCGCCCGUGAAAUCCCCCGGCUCAACCGGGGGGGGUCGGGCGAGACUGUCGGGCUGGAGGCGGGUAGGGGGCAGCGGAAUUCCCGGGUGUAGUGGUGGAAUGCGUAGAGUAUCGGGAGGAACACCAGUGGCGAAGGCGGCUGCCUGGACCCGGCCUGACGCUGAGCGC